rnacentral:rRNA from 1 species
AGUGAACGCUGGCGGUAGACCUAACACAUGCAAGUCGAACGGCAGCACAGUAAGAGCUUGCUCUUACGGGUGGCGAGUGGCGGACGGGUGAGGAAUACAUCGGAAUCUACUUUUUCGUGGGGGAUAACGUAGGGAAACUUACGCUAAUACCGCAUACGACCUACGGGUGAAAGCAGGGGAUCUUCGGACCUUGCGCGAUUGAAUGAGCCGAUGUCGGAUUAGCUAGUUGGCGGGGUAGAGGCCCACCAAGGCGACGAUCCGUAGCUGGUCUGAGAGGAUGAUGAGCCAAACGGGAACGGAGACACGGCCCAGACCCCCAGGGGGGGCAGAGGGGGGAAAUUUUGGAAAAGGGGGGAAAGCCUGAUCCACCAAGGCCGGGGGGGUAAAAAGGGCUUUGGGGUUGAAAACCCCUUUUGUUGGGAAAAAAAAACAGGAGGUUAAACCCCCGCUGUUCUGACGGAACCAAAAAAAAAAGCACGGGCAACUUCGGG